rnacentral:rRNA from 1 species
GUGGGGGAUAUUGCACAAUGGGCGAAAGCCUGAUGCAGCAACGCCGCGUGAGGGAAGACGGUUUUCGGAUUGUAAACCUUUGUCUUUGGUGAAGAUAAUGACGGUAACCAAGGAGGAAGCCACGGCUAACUACGUGCCAGCAGCCGCGGUAAUACGUAGGUGGCAAGCGUUGUCCGGAAUUACUGGGUGUAAAGGGAGCGCAGGCGGGGAUUCAAGUUGGAUGUGAAAUGUCAUGGCUUAACUAUGUCCCUGCAUACAAAACUGAAUUUCUUGAGUGAAGUAGAGGCGAGCGGAAUUCCGGGGGUAGCGGUGAAAUGCGUAGAUAUUCGGAGGAACACCAGUGGCGAAGGCGGCUUGCUGGGCUUUAACUGACGCUGAGGCUCGAAAGUGUGGGGAGCAAACAGGAUUAGAUACCCUAGUAGUCC